rnacentral:misc_RNA from 1 species
CGGGGUUCACUCGACCGGACACACGGCAACGCAUCAGCAGCCAUUUUACGCCCAUCCACGCUUCGGAUACACGGAUUUAUCGAGGUAGAAAUUCGAUCGCAUUCGUCGCGUUAUCGUAAAAACCUGUUUCUGUUGUUCGUAGCCAGCCUUCUUCAUAAAAUGCUGCAGUUCCGUGUAACAAUUUCGGGUCUUAGACUGGUCAGUGUGUGUUAGGUGUCAAGAACGGGCUCAGCCUCUUCAAUGGAUUUUAUAUAACACGGUGCAGUUAACUACUCCUUUUCUGCUUCUACAUUUCAUUGUUCUUCGCUGAUGAUGAGUGAAGUUUGCUGCUCGGUCGUCUUUGUCCUCAAUCAACUCUUAUCUUGCAUCGUACAUUUUAGCUGAAAGAAAGAGAGAGAGAGAAAGAGACAGUGAAACACAGAGACAUACAGAAAGAAGAAAGAAGUUUCUGACGUUUCUAAAGUUCAAAAGAUCUUUAAGCUCUAAACACAUAAUUCAAGCAAUAUCUUCUCGGAAUUGAAAUGCAAGUACCAUUCCACGCUUCUAAUGCUCAUAAAACCAGCUUUAAUUACGUACUUAGUUUUACGCAAUGAACAUUUAGGUUUCAACAAACAUCGUUAACUUGUAAUAACGAAUAAAAAGAUUCUAAUAACAUAUCUGCAACAAAUCAUCAUCCUAUCGUUUUUGUGUGCAUUUGGAAGAAGUCGAAUAGAAGGAAUGAACGAUUGCUUCAAAUACCAGCAGAAGCAUUAACAUGCAUUUAUCGCUUGACAAAGAAAUACUUCGUCACGUGUCGUUUUAUCUCUGCAGUCAUAUUCGCUUCAACGGUGUGUUGGAGAGAAAGUUUACUUGCCUUCGCAGCAUUGCGCAAGUCGUGACAGGAAUACGUUGCGCGUGAACAUAAAAUAUAUGCGUUCAUAAACUUGGUCGAAAAUCAGGAACUAUUUUUACUUGACCCAUUAGAAAGCUACGCACGGAUUAGAAAAAUGGGUCAAGAAUUGUUAGUGGCCUCUUUUUGAUCCAAUUAAAAAUAGUUAUCUUGAGCAAAACCUGCGAGGAAGAUGUCUGUAUUGUUCUAUCAACUAUAUAUCUAUGAAUUAUAUAAUUGUGUCUAAUGACUAUGUAAUACAAUCUCAAAAGAUAAGUGAACGCGGCGCGAUGAUUUAAUGUUAAUAAAUAUGUAUAUAAUACAUAUUACAUAGUGUACGAAUACAUAAUUUCAUAUGUAAUAAAAUAUACAUAAUUUCUCAUGUAAUGAAAAAUUAUUGAAGAAAAUAAAUUAAUAAUAUUUAUAAUAUGAGUAUAUAUAAAUAUUAUCGUAUGAGAAGAGAUAUUAAAAUCUAUGCGACUUUAGAAAACAUGUUAUAAUAAAAUGAUGGAUAAUAUAAUAGAAUACAAUGUUGUACAAAUCAAUAAAAGGCAUAUUUCUAAAGAA